AUUUACGUGUACUUACUGAUACAAACAGCUGCUAGUAGAGUGACCGCCUCCCCGGGGGCUUCACAAUCGGGGAACAGUGGUUCUAACACAUAAUACGCAAAAGUCUGGGCAGUAAUUGCAUUUCCAGUGGGAAUGAUAAUCAUGAUAGCUACCCAUAGGUAGAGAAAAGCCGGGAAAUGACCAAACGCUUCCAUAAUGUAAGCAUAGUCCGCACCCGAUUUUAGAAUCAUUGUCCCCAGCUCGGCAUAGCACAUGGCCCCCACGAGAGAAAUGACCCCACAGAGCACCCACACGAUGAGGGAAAGUCCUACACUUCCUGACUCCGUCAAAACGCCUUUUGGAGAUAUGAAGAUCCCGCUCCCAACUAUAACCCCCACAAUAAUGGCUACCCCAUUGUGAAGCUGAAGUUCUCUCUUCAGUUUGACUGUGGUAUCUUCUUCUAUCACAACCUCCUUGUCGUCCGGAUGAACUUUUACGGUACCAUUUCCCGACAUGUUUUGUUUAUAGAUCGCAGAGUGCACCACGUGGAAUUGAACAGAAUCAGAAAGAUGAA
rnacentral:sRNA from 1 species